CGGUAGGACAUCGCGCGUUACGGGUGUGACGCGUGUCCUUCGUCUUAAUUUCGAUUGAGUCAUCAAUCGUACGCGUAUUCGGCCGCGACUGCCGCGAGUGUGCGCAGUGAUGAUGUAACGCUAUUACGUUCGUCUUCAAGGUUGAACAAGGUUGAGGUGGACACGGAAACGAUUGAGAGCCCCUCGAUCGGUGUUCGCGAGCAUCGAAACGCUCGCUGUUUCUCGAAAUGGCCGUCUGACGCUCUCUCAUUUCGAAAAAAAAUGCGGUCAAUCGUCAUUUCAUCACGGCAAGCGCGCGACGCUGUUGCUUCGUUUCGGAAUGAUAAGAGUCGAGAUGCGUCCCCCGCGAUCGAUUUGCCGAUGUUCGGCAACUUUUCAUGAGCGCGUACAUACAUUGGAGCACCGCCAUUUUUCGCUCGUGAUCUAGGCGACGCCGACGCGUCCAACGUGAAGUUAGACGCGAGUCUCGCGCUUGCGAUUGCAUUCACCGCGCUCCGUGCCGUCCCGUUGGAAAUACUCUUAUUUACACGAUCGAGGAGUGUCGAGAAGUGUCUCGCGUAAGAUGUGAAUUAUAGUAGUGUCGCGUCGUGUUGUCGGAAGUGUGGAAAUCACUUGUUGGAGGCGUUGGGUGCACGGAACGCGAAUGUAUUGUCGCGAUACGGCCAGCAUCGGCCAGCGUUUUCCUGGAAGACGUUUGUUGCUACUUUUUUCGGAUGACGAAACGGGAGGACUGUCUCACACGGACGGAUUAUUAUCGGUCACGAUGCUAUUUCUUUGGACAAUCGACUCGGAUCGAAAAGUGUCUCACGAUACAUCCUGGAUUGCUGAAUUCAUCCACACAUGGAUAUAUUCUCGGAAAUUUCUGAUCUCUUUAUCUGUCAAGGAGAGAGAAGCGAUGAUAUGGACGCAGAUGCAGUGAGGUGCAUCGAUUCGCAUAAAGCACAAUUUCGACAAAAGAUGUUAGAAUCGCAGAGGCAACGGUAAUACUUCUUCAAAUAGAAGCACUUCGAAAAGUACGCUUCUGACCAGCAUGCUUCCCAGGACGUCCUUCGAGAUCAACAUGAACGGCGUGGAUGAUGUC